rnacentral:lncRNA from 1 species
CGGAUUCGGCAGAAAGCUCCGAACAAGCAGCUAACAUCGUGUUUGAUGAUGUCCUUUGAGGACAUGAAUAUCCUUAUGGCAUGUCCAAUGGCCAUGAUAGAGGAUGUGACGAUGUUAGUUGGACCACAUGUGCAUGUUUUUUUUGGCAUGGAUGCAGGUGUGUGGUGAAAAGUAUGUCGAUGGCUGAUGACUUCUAGGAGGGCCAAAAGCUAGAAGGUUGCACCAAAAAUUUCAGCAAGGUUUUUUCGACAUGUGCCG